rnacentral:rRNA from 1 species
UACAGAGGGUGCAAGCGUUGUUCGGAAUUAUUGGGCGUAAAGCGCGCGUAGGCGGCUUUGCAAGUCGGGUGUGAAAGCCCUCAGCUCAACUGAGGAAGUGCGCCCGAAACUGCAGAGCUUGAGUACCGGAGAGGAUGGCGGAAUUCCCCAAGUAGAGGUGAAAUUCGUAGAUAUGGGGAGGAACACCGGUGGCGAAGGCGGCCAUCUGGACGGAUACUGACGCUGAGACGCGAAAGCGUGGGUAGCAAACAGG